CAUCUCGGUGGGUUUUAGCCAGCCCUAACUGUGCCCCCCUGAUGGCCGGGGGUCGGGGGUCGGGGUUCGAUCCCUCGACGGCCGCCAACGACGCGAUCACACUUGAGCAGGACGAGCCACGAGUUCGCCCUCGGUUGCUUCGUUUAGUGUUCCGAUUCCGAUGGAGAGAGCGGCGUCUUCGCUUUGCAUAGGGCCAAGCCUCCUUACAAAAAGUAGAAUGGCAGCCUAAUGCCACCUAAUCAUAAGAAUCAAAUACGAUCCCAGAUGCACAUUCCUACAGCUCCAAUCUAACAAGGGAGUGAGAAAUCGGAAUGGAAACAUCCUCUAAUGAAGGUCCAGCCAUACCUGCCAUAUGCAACACUGAAUUCAUUGGAAAGAAAUAAAAGGCAAAAGAAGAAACCACACUGAGGCAUCCUGCGAAUAGGUUGCGCCAACCCCAUUCAAGUAUGCAGUUCUAUGUUCAGCAAAAUAGCUAGACAUGCCCAAGAAAUGUGAGGAUGAGGAAACAAGAAUAAUGGAGAAAUCCGUAUCUGCACCGGUUUCUGGACACUAUGUAACUCCAACAUCAGUCCUCCAACGAGAAGGAUUUUGUUGAAAGAAGAGGAAGGGGAAGACAUCUUACUAAGUCCUUAGCAAACUGUAGAGCUUCUCUCUGGCAAAUCCUUCCCAUGCUGCAGUGUUAUCAGCCGGCAAGAUUGCUCUUUUAUCAGCCUAUCGAUGGAAGGUGUUUCCCCUGGGAUGAUCCCAAAAUCGUCGGUGUACUUCUCCAUUCCUCCCACCAAGAAGUGCCAGAUGAAAGUGCCUGCUCCAGCUCCAUUCCUCAGCGCAGACUCGUAGAUGGUGUCGUAGAUGGAUUUGUAGAAUGUCGCUCGAUGUGAGUGGUCAAAGUUCUUGUUCUUGUCGGAGAGGCCGAACUCUGUGAACAAGACUGGCUUAUGUAGCUCUUUCUCGCCAUCUUCAAUGUGAGAUGUCACCCAUUUGGAAACGUAGUCUGUUUUCUCAGUCAAAUUUGCAUCCAUCAACCUACAGAAGUGUAUACUCUGUGAUCAACAUUCACACAUGAAUCAUAGAAUUUGAAGUAGUAGUA